UGGGGAAUAUUGCGCAAUGGGGGCAACCCUGACGCAGCAAUACCGCGUGAGUGAAGAAGGUUUUCGGAUCGUAAAGCUCUGUUAUUGGGGAAGAAAAAAGACGGUACCCAAGAAGAAAGUCCCGGCUAACUACGUGCCAGCAGCCGCGGUAAUACGUAGGGGACAAGCGUUGUCCGGAUUUACUGGGCGUAAAGGGCACGCAGGCGGUUUUUUAAGUCAGAUGUGAAAGGUACCGGCUCAACCGGUGACAUGCAUUUGAAACUGAAAGACUUGAGUAUUGGAGAGGCAAGUGGAAUUCCUAGUGUAGCGGUGAAAUGCGUAGAUAUUAGGAGGAACACCGGUGGCGAAGGCGGCUUGCUGGACAAAUACUGACGCUGAGGUGCGAAAGCGUGGGGAGCGAAA
rnacentral:rRNA from 1 species